rnacentral:rRNA from 1 species
GUGCAGUGGCGCGUGCACACUAUGACAGUCGAGCGGUAAGGCCCUUCGGGGUACACGAGCGGCGAACGGGUGAGUAACACGUGAGCAACCUGCCCCUGACUCCGGGAUAAGCGGUGGAAACGCCGUCUAAUACCGGAUACGACCGGCCGCCUCAUGGUGGCCGGUGGAAAGUUCUUCGGUUGGGGAUGGGCUCGCGGCCUAUCAGCUUGUUGGUGGGGUAAAGGCCUACCAAGGCGAUUACGGGUAGCCGGCCUGAGAGGGCGACCGGCCACACUGGGACUGAGACACGGCCCAGACUCCUGCGGGAGGCAGCAGUGGGGAAUAUUGCGCAAUGGGCGAAAGCCUGACGCAGCGACGCCGCGUGGGGGAUGACGGCCUUCGGGUUGUAAACCUCUUUUACCACCAACGCAGGCUCCCAGUUCUCUGGGGGUUGACGGUAGGUGGGGAAUAAGGACCGGCUAACUACGUGCCAGCAGCCGCGGUAAUACGUAGGGUCCGAGCGUUGUCCGGAAUUAUUGGGCGUAAAGAGCUCGUAGGCGGCGUGUCGCGUCUGCUGUGAAAGACCGGGGCUUAACUCCGGUUCUGCAGUGGAUACGGGCAUGCUAGAGGUAGGUAGGGGAGACUGGAAUUCCUGGUGUAGCGGUGAAAUGCGCAGAUAUCAGGAGGAACACCGGUGGCGAAGGCGGGUCUCUGGGCCUUACCUGACGCUGAGGAGCGAAAGCAUGGGGAGCGAACAGGAUUAGAUACCCUGGUAGUCCAUGCCGUAAACGUUGGGCGCUAGGUGUGGGGACUUUCCACGGUUUCCGCGCCGUAGCUAACGCAUUAAGCGCCCCGCCUGGGGAGUACGGCCGCAAGGCUAAAACUCAAAGGAAUUGACGGGGGCCCGCACAAGCGGCGGAGCAUGUUGCUUAAUUCGACGCAACGCGAAGAACCUUACCAAGGUUUGACAUCACCCGUGGACCUGCAGAGAUGUGGGGUCAUUUAGUUGGUGGGUGACAGG